rnacentral:rRNA from 1 species
GACGAACCGUCCAAACGUUGUUCGGAAUCACUGGGCUUAAAGGGCGCGUAGGCGGGUCUCCAAGUCGGUGGUGAAAUCUUUCGGCUCAACCGGAAAACAGCCGCCGAUACUGGGGGUCUCGAGGGAGGUAGGGGUCGAUGGAACUUCCGGUGGAGCGGUGAAAUGCGUAGAUAUCGGAAGGAACGCCGGUGGCGAAAGCGAUCGACUGGACCUUUCUGACGCUGAGGCGCGAAAGCCAGGGGAGCAAAGCGGG